rnacentral:lncRNA from 1 species
GGAGGAGUGAGGAAAAGAUUAAAAUGCUCCUGUCUAGCAUGUGUCUAUUUUCAUCCUUUUUUACAGAGUUUCUGUCUUAUUACGGCUGGAGGAGGGAGCGGAUUCCCAUGCAGAGCUGGGCUCCUGCUUCCCAUGAGGGCGCUGCUGGAUGUACCCACAGUGAAGCUGGAAGCUGGAAGCUGCAGCGACUAGAACAGGACUGGCCUCUAAUUUACACACAGUGAACCACAUGUCAAAAUAAAUAGCACGGACCGGGACA